UACGGAGGGAGCGAACGUUGUUCGGAUUUACUGGGCGUAAAGGGUGUGUAGGCGGUCUUGCAAGUCAGGGGUGAAAUCUCUCGGCUCAACCGAGAAACUGCCUUUGAGACUGCAGGACUUGAGGGCGUGAGAGGAGACUGGAAUUCCUAGUGUAGCGGUGAAAUGCAUAGAUAUUAGGAGGAACACCAGUGGCGAAGGCGGGUCUCUGGGCCGAUACUGACGCUGAGGAGCGAAAGCGUGGGGAGCGAACAGG
rnacentral:rRNA from 1 species